rnacentral:misc_RNA from 1 species
GAUGAAGAACGUAGCGAAAUGCGAUAACUAAUGUGAAUUGCAGAAUUCAGUGAAUCAUCGAGUCUUUGAACGCACAUUGCGCCCCCUGGUAUUCCGAGGGGCAUGCCUGUCCGAGCGUCAUUGCUGCCCUCAAGCACGGCUUGUGUGUUGGGCUCCGUCCCCCCGGGGACGGGUCCGAAAGGCAGCGGCGGCACCGAGUCCGGUCCUCGAGCGUAUGGGGCUUUGUCACCCGCUCUGUAGGCCCGGCCGGCGCCAGCCGACAACCAAUCAUCCUUUUUUCAGGUUGACCUCGGAUCAGGUAGGGAUACCCGCUGAACUUAAGCAUAUCAAUAAGCGGAGGA